CCUACGGGAGGCAGCAGUAGGGAACUCUCGGCAAUGGGGGGAACCCUGACCGAGCAACGCCGCGUGAGUGAAGAAGGUUUUCGGAUCGUAAAGCUCUGUUNUAAGAGAAGAACGGGUGUGAGAGUGGAAAGUUCACACUGUGACGGUAUCUUACCAGAAAGGGACGGCUAACUACGUGCCAGCAGCCCGGGUAAUACGUAGGUCCCGAGCGUUGUCCGGAUUUAUUGGGCGUAAAGCGAGCGCAGGCGGUUAGAUAAGUCUGAAGUUAAAGGCUGUGGCUUAACCAUAGUAUGCUUUGGAAACUGUUUAUACUGAGUGCAGAAGGGGAGAGUGGAUAUCCAUGUGUAGCGGUGAAAUGCGUAGAUAUAUGGAGGAACACCGGUGGCGAAAGCGGCUCUCUGGUCUGUAACUGACGCUGAGGCUCGAAAGCGUGGGGAGCAAACAGGAUUAGAUACCCUGGUAGUCCACGCCGUAAACGAUGAGUGCUAGGUGUUAGGCCCUUUCCGGGGCUUAGUGCCGCAGCUAACGCAUUAAGCACUCCGCCUGGGGAGUACGACCGCAAGGUUGAAACUCAAAGGAAUUGACGGU
rnacentral:rRNA from 1 species